UACGUAGGUGGCGAGCGUUGUCCGGAUUUACUGGGCGUAAAGCGCGCGCAGGCGGUUCGUUAAGUCCGGUGUGAAAGCUCCCGGCUCAACUGGGAGAGGUCAUUGGAUACUGGCGGACUUGAGGGAUGCAGAGGAAGGUGGAAUUCCCGGUGUAGUGGUGAAAUGCGUAGAGAUCGGGAGGAACACCAGUGGCGAAGGCGGCCUUCUGGGCAUUUCCUGACGCUGAGGCGCGAAGGCCAGGGGAGCAAACGGG
rnacentral:rRNA from 1 species